rnacentral:lncRNA from 1 species
CUCUAACUUGUUUUUAAAUGGGAGCAGAUGCCUCUGUUUCUUGAGCUGACUUCCAGAUUCUGAGAAAUAAAUGAAGAGUGGAGGCUUGUUUUGGUAGAGGCUGAGAAAAGGAGUUGGCCAUAUUUGCCCUUCAGAACUUCGUGUCAUCCCCCAGCUCCCCAACGGCAGGGCCACAUUCUUUCACAGGACGGAGUUGGGGCAGAUUAUGGCUUCCUCUGGAUUGGAUUUCCCUUGGCUUCCCUGAGGGCAAUCCCCCGAGGAAGCACAUCCUGGAGCCAAACUCACCCAAUGAACCACAGCAACAGCUCCUAGGAGAAUGAAGAGUGUGAAUGGAUGGCCUUUUCAAAAUGAUGAGCCUGGAAGAGUUACAGACUCUGGCCCGAAAGAACCAAAGUUGAAGGUAGAGAUGUUUUAAGGAUGAGCAGAGCAGAACAACUUAGCAGUGGGAUGUUAAAGGCAACAUGAAUCAACCACUCCCUGCUAGAAUGGAAGAUUCAUGGGAGCAGGAACCUUGUUUACUAUGUUCCUUAUUGCAAUCCUAAUGCCUGGAACUCUAACUAAUACGUAGGAGGACUCCACAAUUCAUUGAAAACUGAAGAAAUGAAUUCACUUGCGCAUUUCCAGUUCCAUUCCUGAACUCUUCCUUUAGUGAGAAGCACAUGAUGACCUUGUUAAUAUGAAAAUUGAUAAUGGGGUGAGAGAAGAAAAGAAAAGCAUAAAAUACCUGUCUAAUCCAUGCACCACCAGACACCAGAGCAUGUGGGAAGUGGCCAAGAAGAUGAUGCAGGGACGUCUGAGCCCACUUUCUUAUUGGACUUUCCUAGGUACUGUGGCCUGGGAAAUGAUAUUAGAAGUAAUGCAUUAGAAGUGGAAAACAAAACAGGAAAUUUAAGGUCAACAUUCAGAGUCUACUGUGCUCUCUUACUUGGGCUCACCUGAGAGCAUCUUGGUAGGCCAAUGUUGUUUCAGGGGCUCUGAAGUGGGAUCCCCUUGAGAAAUGACCUUGAGUUUCUCUGUUCCACACAUAUGGAACCCUAGCCUUUGGAGGACACUUAGGUCUAUGUGCUUGGGAUAUAACAAGACUCUGCUUUUGAUCUUGAAAAGCUUGAAUGAUAUUUAGGAAGGC